rnacentral:rRNA from 1 species
ACGGGGGGGGUAAGCGUUGUUCGGAAUUACUGGGCGUAAAGGGCUCGUAGGCGGCCAACUAAGUCAUACGUGAAAUCCCUCAGCUUAACUGGGGAACUGCGUGUGAUACUGGAUGGCUUGGAUUUGGGAGAGGGAUGCGGAAUUCCAGGUGUAGCGGUGAAAUGCGUAGAUAUCUGGAGGAACACCGGUGGCGAAGGCGGCAUCCUGGACCAAUACUGACGCUGAGGCGCGAAAGCGUGGGGAGCAAACAGGA